rnacentral:rRNA from 1 species
GUAGGUGGCAAGCGUUGUCCGGAAUUAUUGGGCGUAAAGCGCGCGCAGGCGGUUCUUUAAGUCUGAUGUGAAAGCCCACGGCUCAACCGUGGAGAGUCAUUGGAAACUGGAGAACUUGAGUACAGAAGAGGAAAGCGGAAUUCCACGUGUAGCGGUGAAAUGCGUAGAGAUGUGGAGGAACACCAGUGGCGAAGGCGGCUUUCUGGUCUGUAACUGACGCUGAGGCGCGAAAGCGUGGGGAGCAAACAGGGAUUAGAUACCCUGGUAGUCCACGCCGUAAACGAUGAGUGCUAAGUGUUAGGGGGUUUCCGCCCCCUUAGUGCUGCAGCUAACGCAUUAAGCACUCCGCCUGGGGAGUACGGCCGCAAGGCUG